rnacentral:lncRNA from 1 species
AAAGCGCCAGAAGGUAGCAAUCCCCCCUCCUCCUCCGGUAUCUCCAAUUCCGGUGGAAUCUUCUCCUUCUUCUCCAGAAGCCCAGCCACAACAAGCACCAUCUCCCCCACCUAUGCGGGAAGCACCACAGAUAGAAGAACCCCAACAGGAAGGAUCUCAAACAGAAGAUACAUCAGUUGACAUGGGUGAACAAACAACUGGCCCGGUGGGUCUAGUUAUACCAUCGGCAGUUCUCCCGGUUCAAACAACCGUUGUCCCUCCUCCAGGUAACAUACUUUAACAAUAUCGCUACCGAUGAACUUAUUCUUAUUUAGUCUCAUAACUCCUUUUGUCUUCUUUCAGUUGAUAUUGUUCCAUCGGCAAUCUCAGCCGAUCAACCUGUAGCUCCAUCGGCAUCUUUGGCCGAUCAGCCUGCAGCUCCAUCAGCACUUCUCAGUCACAGACAAGAGAUCGCCUUGAAGCAAGUAAGUCACCGUUUACCGUUAGCACUAUUUGCCGAUUUUCUAAGUAUGAGCUAAUUUUGCUUUCCCUCCCAGGAACAAGAUUCUCCCGAUAGCCUGUUCUCCUUCGCCAUCA